GACGAACGCUGGCGGCGUGCUUAACACAUGCAAGUCGAACGGAAAGGCCCUGCUUGCAGGGUACUCGAGUGGCGAACGGGUGAGUAACACGUGGGUGAUCUGCCCCGCACUUCGGGAUAAGCCUGGGAAACUGGGUCUAAUACCGGAUAGGAGCCAUUUUUAGUGUGAUGGUUGGAAAGUUUUUUCGGUGUAGGAUGAGCUCGCGGCCUAUCAGCUUGUUGGUGGGGUAAUGGCCUACCAAGGCGGCGACGGGUAGCCGGCCUGAGAGGGUGGACGGCCACAUUGGGACUGAGAGACGGCCCAGACUCCUACGGGAGGCAGCAGUGGGGAAUAUUGCACAAUGGGCGCAAGCCUGAUGCAGCGACGCCGCGUGGGGGAUGACGGCCUUCGGGUUGUAAACUCCUUUCGCUAGGGACGAAGCUUUUUGUGACGGUACCUAGAUAAGAAGCACCGGCUAACUACGUG
rnacentral:rRNA from 1 species